UCAUCGGUGUUUGCCUUCCUCCCCUUUCACAGGGCCUCGGCUGUUGCGUGCAGAGAAGCUGUCAGCCUUGUGAGAGAGCAUGCAGCCGGCAAGCGCAUCGUGGUGCUUCGGUACCGAGCUGAUACCGCAGGCGUCCGUCUUUUGUUUGCGAAAAGGGAUCGCGAGGAAAGGUGCUGACGUUGGAGGGGGUAAGGUGGCGGGAGAACAGGUAGGAGGCAGCUUUCAACCGGUUUUAGGCUUAACUCCUGUGUUCCUGAGCACGGUUCUGGGCUUCGAGGGGUUUGCUUUUGGCUUUUUGCCUUCAGCGCGUCCUCCGUCACCGCUGUCGGCGUGCGCUGAGCUGCUGCUUAGGGAACUGUGGUGAUACAGACUGUGUGCGUGCCAACCGUCCUCCAGGCUAUAGCUGUAUUCUACCCUAAAAAAAGCUUUCCGUAAUACUAUGCUUCCGUUAGGACGCAAUUUUCUCGAGUUCCCCCCACCUCAGGGUGAUUUUCCCACACCCCUAACCCCAACCCCUAAGCCCACCUGCAACACCCCAUUUUCUCCUAGGCUUGUAGGAGUGGCCUGAGAGGUGCUUGCAGGGUAUUCCAUUUUGCCUUAGACAGCUUAGGAGACCAACCACAUGCCUGGAGAUCUGUAUCUAUCCUUAGGCUCCUAGUGGGAUUCACACAAAACCAGUAUGUGUGGGCACAUUCUCCUAGCAGCUCGGUGUCUUUUUGCUGUUGCAGAGGUGAUUUCCAGGCGGAGCUGACCAGUGGGGUUCUCUGGCUGAGGGGAAGACCAGCCGUCAGCUGGUGGAUGUGCUUCUGGAAGAAAUAGCAACGGGAGCUCUAAGAGAGGGAAAUGGCUUCCCUGCAUGGAAGGAGGAGGGGAGCGCUGAAGCUUUCGUGGCCAAGCCCCGGAGCCAGGAUGUCAGGGAGAAGCAGGAGUAUCUGAGCCAGCUGAAGAACAAGCUGGGAGAUCUACUAGAGGGGAAGGCAGAUGAUCUGAAGACUGCUUUCUGUGCGAUUGAUCCCGGUAUCGACGAUCAGACGCUAGAUACCUACGUUGACCUGCCGGAUCAAGAAGAUGUGCCUGUGGAAACUGCACUCGAGAGGCUGCUUGCUGGAUAUGCGAGACGAGUAGGGCCCUCGCCCAGGGAGGGAAGCACGACAGGCUUCGGAGGGGAGGAAGGAGACUUCCAAUAAUAAGAAUAAAUGGACUGUUUGAUCUACGGGUUUGGGUGCCAAGCCGAGAGUUGGAGUUACUGCGUUAAAUACUUCUUCCCAUUGCAUAUGGAGGUACAGCUCGUAAGAGCUGAGUGGGUGGGCUAGCUUGAGCUAUCGGAAGCGCUUUCAUCUUAAGCAGCACAGCACUCCGAGACAAUUUUACAGCCUCUGCAGAGUCAUUUUAGCUCAGCAAGACCUGUGGUGGGAGGCUGCCUGAUCCCCAGACAGAGGCUUCACACCCCCGGGGCGCCGAGGCACUUCAGGGUGUCAGGCGCUCUGCUUGGUGACACAAGAGCUGUGCUCCACAGCCAUUGCUGGAAC